rnacentral:lncRNA from 1 species
GCCUUUUAUAGCUGACUAUGAUGUAUGGGCUUUGCUGAUUGUUGAAGGCCGUACGGUGACCUAUAGUUGUUAAUGUCUGUGUUAUGUUGGUCUCUUGUGGACAUUUGUCUCAUUGGCAAUCAUACAACAUCUUCUUUUUUAUAAUUCUAUUUGAAGUGAUGAUGCAAUGGCGAAAUUUAAAUGCGGUUGCAAAUACGUUUACCGACCUAUUAGAUUCUAAUAUACUGGUCACAC